rnacentral:misc_RNA from 1 species
GAUGAAGAACGUAGCGAAAUGCGAUAAGUAAUGUGAAUUGCAGAAUUCAGUGAAUCAUCGAAUCUUUGAACGCACAUUGCGCCCGCCAGUAUUCUGGCGGGCAUGCCUGUUCGAGCGUCAUUUCAACCAUCAAGCCCCAGGCUUGUGUUGGGGACCUGCGGCUGCCGCAGGCCCUGAAAACCAGUGGCGGGCUCGCUGUCCACACCGAGCGUAGUAACUAACCUCGCUAUGGAGUGGCGCGGGCGCCUGCCGUAAAACCCCCAAUUUCACAAGGUUGACCUCGGAUCAGGUAGGAAUACCCGCUGAACUUAAGCAUAUCAAUAAGCGGAGGAA